UGCCUGCAUUGGCCACAGGGAUUGAGAGUACGUGGUUAUUUUAACAUUGAUGUUCAGCUGAGAAUUCCUGGCAUCAGGAACAUCCAACCUGCAGAAACUUCCAGAGAGCAAAGCAGAGGAGUGCUGUGCCUGUGGCAAGGAAGGAAUGAAGUAGCGAAGCACCUGUAUCACUUGUAUGCAUGCAGCUGCAUCUUGCCAGGAAAGAUAUUACACAGCUAAAGACACACAUCAUGAUGUCCCAGGGAAGGCACAAGAAAAAGAAGAAAGAGCUUUCCCAGCAGCUGAAAUUACAGGACCAGGUACUGCAACUGCAACAGCAGCUGGAAGUUCAAAGAUGAAAUUGCU